rnacentral:rRNA from 1 species
CGGACGGGUGAGUAAUGUCUGGGGAAACUGCCUGAUGGAGGGGGAUAACUACUGGAAACGGUAGCUAAUACCGCAUAACGUCGCAAGACCAAAGAGGGGGACCUUAGGGCCUCUUGCCAUCGGAUGUGCCCAGAUGGGAUUAGCUAGUAGGUGGGGUAACGGCUCACCUAGGCGACGACCCCUAGCUGGUCUGAGAGGAUGACCAGCCACACUGGAACUGAGACACGGUCCAG